rnacentral:rRNA from 1 species
GACGAACGCUGGCGGCGUGCUUAACACAUGCAAGUCGAACGGAAAGGCCCUGCUUUUGUGGGGUGCUCGAGUGGCGAACGGGUGAGUAACACGUGAGUAACCUGCCCUUGACUUUGGGAUAACUCCAGGAAACUGGGGCUAAUACCGGAUAGGAGCUCCUGCUGCAUGGUGGGGGUUGGAAAGUUUCGGCGGUUGGGGAUGGACUCGCGGCUUAUCAGCUUGUUGGUGGGGUAGUGGCUUACCAAGGCAUUGACGGGUAGCCGGCCUGAGAGGGUGACCGGCCACAUUGGGACUGAGAUACGGCCCAGACUCCUACGGGGGGCAGCAGUGGGGAAUAUUGCACAAUGGGCGGAAGCCUGAUGCAGCAACGCCGCGUGCGGGAUGACGGCCUUCGGGUUGUGAACCGCUUUCGCCUGUGACGAAGCGUGAGUGACGGUAAUGGGUAAAGAAGCACCGGCUAACUACGUG